UCCUUAGACAAAGCUCCCCAUCUAAUCCGCGGUAGACCUUGGGCGCCCCUCCUCUUCUUCUUCACCCAGAGAUCAACAUCCAUCACUAGUAGUCUAUGGAGAGUUGAGAGAGACUCUCCCGGAAUAACCUUGCAGUCCUUGCACAAACCCCUGUCGCUCCUUCUCAUGAGGAUGUAAUCAAUUUGAGUCUUCGCCACCGAACUCUUGAAGGUGACCAAAUGCUCCUCCCUCUUCCGGAAUGACGAGUUCGCAAUCAGGA
rnacentral:lncRNA from 1 species